rnacentral:lncRNA from 1 species
AGGAGUCUUUCCACCGCUUCAGAACAUGCCUGGUGACCUCAUUUAUGUGAACACUUUAGCCAGAACAAAACUCAGCAAGCCACUGAUGAAUCCAGUGAAAAGGAGAGACCUACUGAGCCUUUGGGAAUGUAUGAUGCCUUGGAUUGGUCCAGGGUUCUGAAGCCUAAGUCACUCAUUGUACGCAGGAAGCCGAAUCUGCUGUGUGGAUGAGGUCUCCUGCUGCUCUGGGACCGUGCUUCACUCCAAGCCUCAGAGGUGGACACCUUUGAUACCAGGGUGACCAAUCCCUGGUCCUGGUCCUACCUACAUGAGAGUGAUAGAGCUCUGGGCUGGGGUACAAUUGAGUGACACACUCUUCCAAGUCCUCUUCCUCCACCACAGAGCACAAUUUCAUAAAGGUUUUGGCUUGCAUUAUAGGGAACGUGGAACACGGAACACUUCAGAUUUUCAACGAUGCUGGAUUUGAGCUGUUCACUUGAAAAUAAAGUCUGUUGCAUCACAAGUGCUGGUUGGCAUCGCUGUCCUCCUAUCAGUGGAUUAAGAAAAGGCACAGCGAAAAACUAGUUUAAAAUCACCAGUCGGAUAUUUUACAGGCGAGGUCCAGCACGAUCACUCACACGGCUGCUGCUAGGCUGGCUCUGCCCGUUAUUCUUCCAUCCUGGCACCAUGCUUCUAAUUUAUCCUGAAUACAUGGAGACUUGAGCACUGAUGGGAUAGAUAAAAAAAACGACAGCAAUCUUCUCUCCAAAAAAGCAACAUAAGACUAGAUAAAAUGGUCAAAAAUAAUCAUUUCAGAAUGAUUCUAGAAAAUGACCAAAGGCAGACAACAAAUUGAGAUGUGUGUUUCGUUUUUUUUGAAUCUACUGGGGCUUGGAAGGAACAGUGGGAGACUAUGGAAUUUUAGCUCAGGGCAGCGUGGUAUAGUUUCACAAUGGAAUACUACUCAGAAAUAAAAGCGAUAAACUGUUGAUACAUGCAACAAUGUGGAUGAAUCUUAAGAUAAUAAUGCUGAGUCAAAGAAGCCAGACAAAAGUAUGUAUAGUGUGAUUCGAAUUAUAUGAAAUUCUACAAAAUAUACACUAAUCUAUAAUGACAGAAAUAGAUCAGGGGUUGCCUGGGGAACUGGGGUGGAGGGUGUGCCAAGAGAGGCAGGAAAGAAGGAUUAUGAAGGGGCAGGAGGAGAGCUUUGGGGAUGGGGAUGUAUUCAUUAUCUUGAUUGUGAUGAUAAAUUCUCCGGUGUACACAUAUAGCAAAAUUUAUCAAAUUAUACACUUUAAACCAUGUGCAGUUUUUGUAUAUGGAUUGUACCAAAAUAAAGUUUUUUAAAGGGAUGCUAAUCAAUGGAUUAUACUACCUGUAGCUUGCCUACACCUCAUCUCCUUCCUCAAAACAGUUAACCUACAGGUACCUAGUAGCUAUUCCAAAACUGCUCCUCGAACUUGUGAAUGAGUAAGAGAAUGAACAAACGCACCCACUUAUCAACCUAUUCUAUGUCCU